GAUGAAGAACGUAGCGAAAUGCGAUAAGUAAUGUGAAUUGCAGAAUUCAGUGAAUCAUCGAAUCUUUGAACGCACAUUGCGCCCGGCAGUACUCUGCCGGGCAUGCCUGUUCGAGCGUCAUUUCAACCCUCAAGCCCUGCUUGGUGUUGGGGCCCCACGGCUGCCGUGGGCCCUAAAAGGAAGUGGCGGGCUCGCUACAACUCCGAGCGUAGUAAUUCAUUAUCUCGCUUAGGGCGUUGGGCGGCGCUCCAGCCGUUAAAGAACCAUCUUUAACUCAAGGUUGACCUCGGAUCAGGUAGGAAUACCCGCUGAACUUAAGCAUAUCAAUAAGCGGAGGA
rnacentral:misc_RNA from 1 species